UUCUAUUUUUAUUUUAUUUUUUUGAACAUAUCUGUAACUUGUUUUUACGCAUUUCAUAAGUAUACCAGCACAUAUGAAUAUUUAUCUGGCUUCUUAAUGACCUCACGUCACUUUCUGUUGUUGAGUGGCAGGUUAGAGGUUUAUUUGAACAGAACAUAGAAAAACGCACGUUUUCUUCACAGGACUGUACAUUUUCAUGUAAAAUGCAGAGAAAUAUAAAAUGAAUGCAGAACAAAAAGUAACGUGAAAAAAAAAUACUGUUUUAGAGAUCAGCAUUAGCAGGUUAGUUAGGGGUUAGUUUUGAUUCUGACCCAGAUAAAGCAGGGUUCUGGUUUUUCGUCUGUUAUUAGGGUGCGGCCUCUUCCAUUCUUGAGAAACCAACAUUUCUCAAGAAUGUGUGAGGUUUUGACUCGCUGGGUGUCAUGUUGAGUCUCUUGAACUUAAUGGUGCAUUAGAACUUACUAGUUGAACUGGAACGUACAGGAAUGAAGCAGUUUAACUUUGGUCUGAGCCUGAGGGGGAUUGAACCUGAUCUGGUCAACUCUAAGUGGUGCUUUUGUCCGCUGAGGUCUCGCCUGUCUCAGUCUGAGCCUGAGGGUGUUGAACCUGAUCUGGUCGACACAAACUGGUGCUUUUGUCCUCCCAAGUGACUCGCUGAGGUCUCGUCCAUCUCAGAUGCUUUAACACCGCACAUGGCAGCUGCAAGUUCUGGAUGACAAAUUUCAAUCCAAACAGAAACUGGCUUGUGGAAUCCUGGAAGCGUGGACAAUUUGAAUUACAAGGGGUGACUGAGUUUUGAGCCUGACCUGGUAGGAGUAGGCAUUGUUUCUUCAUCGCUUGUAUUCUGAGAAAUCAACAGUUCUGAAAAUGUAAAGGUUUGACUCAGUGGGUGUAACAUUGCAGACACAGUAUUUCAGUGAAGGUGAGUAGGGGUCAGAUUGGGGGAAAAUGGACAAAGCUGGUGGACGUGUUGUGAUUCAGUGUCUCACCAAAAAGGGAAUGUCUCCAAAGGCGAUCCAUGAGCACAUGGUGACAACAUUAGGGAAGGACGCCCCAUCUUAUGCUACAGUUAAACGCUGGUCAGCCAAAUUCAAGAGGGGCAAAACGAGCAUUGAAGAUGCUGCAAGGUCAGGAAGACCCAGAACUGCUACCUCAACUGAUAUGGUCCAGAAGAUCCAUGAUAUGGUCCUUGCUGACAGAGGAGUGAGUGAGCGCCACAUAGCCAGUACUGUAGGCAUUUCCCAGGAGAGGGUUCACUCAGUUCUGACGGUAGACCUGGGAUUGACUCUCUGCACGAUGUGUCCCAAGGUUUCUCAGCACCAAUCAGAAACACACGAGGUUCCAGAUGUCCAGGGAGAAUCUUCGGCUUCUUGAGGAAGAUCCAGAUAACUUUGUGACAAUUUCGUGACUGUGGACGAGACCUGGCUCGAUCAUGUCAAACCGGGGUCCAAAUCGGUAAGGCAAUGGAAAUGUGGGUUCUCCCCCGCCAAAGAAAGCCAAAGCUGUCAUUGAGCUUCUGGGAUGCUGAGAGCAUCAUGAGGGACAGAUGAUCAUGACUGCAGAAGAAAAAGCAGGAGGGUGGAAUGCUCCAAUGAGGUGUUCAGUUUCACCACGACAGUGUCAUCACAGUGGCUGACACAGUUUCCAAACAUGAAAAGGCAUCUUGCUGGGACUCCUUUAUACGGUCAUAUCUGCAGUGGAUGACUUCCUGGAGCUCCAGGAUGAGACUGUUGCUGUUAAUUCUCUUCUUAAAUAAAAUUUAGAUUACUAUUCAUUUUCAAUUUGCUCUCUAAUGACAUGACCGGGUAUUAGCAGCAGUGUUAAACGCCACUGAGUUGUACCAGUGUUUUAAGUAUGUACAUUUAGCAUCUGGGUUGAAUUUACUUUUGUACUGUGAAACAAACUGUUAGUAAUUGGAUCUGGUUCUGAGCUGGCUUCUGUAAAUGUUCAGAUUAAAACUGUUUCCUGUUGCAGGUUUUGAAGUA